ACUUGUGAGAAGAAGCUACCGAGCUUUUUUUAGUGAAGGGGACAUAUUCAUGUUCUGAAGUUCUGCGCAAAUCUGUAAAUGGAUAAAUGUCGCUAGACUGAAAAGCCUUUUUUUCUAUUUAAUUCUUCAAAGUUAGAUAUGUUUCCGUAAUUGCGGAAAAGUUUUAAACUUUUAUAAGCUUUAAUACAAAGGUCUAAUUCUGAAACGAUAAAAAGAAAACAAAAAGAAAAGAAGACAAGCAACACGGAAAAUAAAAGAAAAAACAAAACAAGAGAGAGAGAAAAAAAAACAGAACAAGAGAGAAAAUUUU